rnacentral:rRNA from 1 species
UUGAACGCUGGCGGCAUGCCUUACACAUGCAAGUCGAACGGUAGAGGGGCAACCCUUGAGAGUGGCGAACGGGUGAGUAAUAUAUCGGAACGUGCCCAGUCGUGGGGGAUAACGCAGCGAAGGCUGCGCUAAUACCGCAUACGAUCUAUGGAUGAAAGCGGGGGAUCGCAAGACCUCGCGCGAUUGGAGCGGCCGAUAUCAGAUUAGGUAGUUGGUGGGGUAAAAGCCCACCAAGCCGACGAUCUGUAGCUG